GCUCCCGUAGUGUAGUCCGGUCAAUCAUAUUGGCCUCUCGAGCCAAUGACUCGGGUUCAAAUCCCGACGGGAGCA
rnacentral:tRNA from 1 species